rnacentral:rRNA from 1 species
CGGCGGACGGGUGAGUAAUGCCUAGGAAUCUGCCUGGUAGUGGGGGAUAACGUUCGGAAACGGACGCUAAUACCGCAUACGUCCUACGGGAGAAAGCAGGGGACCUUCGGGCCUUGCGCUAUCAGAUGAGCCUAGGUCGGAUUAGCUAGUUGGUGGGGUAAUGGCUCACCAAGGCGACGAUCCGUAACUGGUCUGAGAGGAUGAUCAGUCACACUGGAACUGAGACACGGUCCAGACUCCUACGGGAGGCAGCAGUGGGGAAUAUUGGACAAUGGGCGAAAGCCUGAUCCAGCCAUGCCGCGUGUGUGAAGAAGGUCUUCGGAUUGUAAAGCACUUUAAGUUGGGAGGAAGGGUUGUAGAUUAAUACUCUGCAAUUUUGACGUUACCGACAGAAUAAGCACCGGCUAACUCUGUGCCAGCAGCCGCGGUAAUACAGAGGGUGCAAGCGUUAAUCGGAAUUACUGGGCGUAAAGCGCGCGUAGGUGGUUUGUUAAGUUGGAUGUGAAAUCCCCGGGCUCAACCUGGGAACUGCAUUCAAAACUGACUGACUAGAGUAUGGUAGAGGGUGGUGGAAUUUCCUGUGUAGCGGUGAAAUGCGUAGA